rnacentral:rRNA from 1 species
CCUGAUCCAGCCAUGCCGCGUGUGUGAAGAAGGUCUUCGGAUUGUAAAGCACUUUAAGUUGGGAGGAAGGGUUGUAGAUUAAUACUCUGCAAUUUUGACGUUACCGACAGAAUAAGCACCGGCUAACUCUGUGCCAGCAGCCGCGGUAAUACAGAGGGUGCAAGCGUUAAUCGGAAUUACUGGGCGUAAAGCGCGCGUAGGUGGUUUGUUAAGUUGGAUGUGAAAUCCCCGGGCUCAACCUGGGAACUGCAUUCAAAACUGACUGACUAGAGUAUGGUAGAGGGUGGUGGAAUUUCCUGUGUAGCGGUGAAAUGCGUAAAUAUAGGAAGGAACACCAGUGGCGAAGGCGACCACCUGGACCAAUACUGACACUGAGGUGCGAAAGCGUGGGGAGCAAACAGGAUUACAUACCCUGGUAGUCCACGCCGUAAACGAUGUCAACUAGCCGUUGGGAGCCUUGACCUCUUAGUGGCGCACCUAACGCAUUAUUUUGACCGCCUGGGGAGUACGGCCG